CCCGCUGAACUUAAGCAUAUCAAUAAGCGGAGGAAAAGAAACCAACAGGGAUUGCCCCAGUAACGGCGAGUGAAGCGGCAAGAGCUCAAAUUUGAAAGCUGGCCCCCUCGGGGUCCGCAAUUGUAAUUUGCAGAGGAUGCUUCGGGAGUGGCCCCCAUCUAAGUGCUCUGGAACGGGCCGUCAUAGAGGGUGAGAAUCCCGUAUGGGAUGGGGUGUCCGCGACCAUGUGAAGCUCCUUCAACGAGUCGAGUUGUUUGGGAAUGCAGCUCUAAAUGGGUGGUAAAUUUCAUCUAAAGCUAAAUAUUGGCCGGAGACCGAUAGCGCACAAGUAGAGUGAUCGAAAGAUGAAAAGCACUUUGAAAAGAGAGUUAAAAAGCACGUGAAAUUGUUGAAAGGGAAGCGCUUGCGACCAGACUCGCCUGCGGGGUUCAGCCGGUAUUCGUACCGGUGUACUUCCCCGUGGGCGGGCCAGCGUCGGUUUGGGCGGCCGGUCAAAGGCCCUCGGAAUGUAACGCCUCUCGGGGCGUCUUAUAGCCGAGGGUGCCAUGCGGCCAGCCCGGACCGAGGAACGCGCUUCGGCACGGACGCUGGCAUAAUGGUCGUAAGCGACCCGUCUUGAAACACGG
rnacentral:rRNA from 1 species